UACGUAGGGUGGCGAGCGUUAAUCGGAAUUAUUGGGCGUAAAGGGCGCGUAGGCGGCUUGGCAAGUGGAUGGUGAAAUCCCUCGGCUUAACCGAGGAACUGCCGUCCAAACUGCUUCGCUUGAGACCGGGAGAGGUGAGUGGAAUUCCCAGUGUAGCGGUGAAAUGCGUAGAUAUUGGGAGGAACACCAGUGGCGAAGGCGGCUCACUGGACCGGUACUGACGCUGAUGCGCGAAAGCGUGGGUAGCGGAACGGG
rnacentral:rRNA from 1 species